UACGUAGGGGGCUAGCGUUGUCCGGAUUUAUUGGGCGUAAAGAGCUCGUAGGCGGUCUGUUGCGUCGGCUGUGAAAACCCGAGGCUCAACCUCGGGCCUGCAGCCGAUACGGGCAGACUAGAGUGUGGUAGGGGAGACUGGAAUUCCUGGUGUAGCGGUGAAAUGCGCAGAUAUCAGGAGGAACACCGGUGGCGAAGGCGGGUCUCUGGACAGUUCCUGACAGCUGAGACACGAAGGCCCAGGGGAGCAAAACGGGG
rnacentral:rRNA from 1 species